rnacentral:rRNA from 1 species
GUGUCAGCAGCCGCGGUAAUACGUAGGACCCGAGCGUUGUCCGGAUUUACUGGGUAUAAAGGGUGCGUAGGCGGCCUUGUGCGUCAGAGGUGAAAUAUCCGGGCUUAACCCGGAGGGUGCCUUUGAUACGGCAGGGCUUGAGUGCGAGAGAGGAUGAUGGAAUUCCUGGUGUAGCGGUGAAAUGCGUAGAUAUCAGGAGGAACACCGGUGGCGAAGGCGGUCAUCUGGCUCGUAACUGACGCUGAGGCACGAAAGCGCGGGGAUCAAACAGGAUUAGAUACCCCUGUAGUCC